AUCCAGCUGACGAGUCCCAAAUAGGACGAAACGUGCAUGAAACUGGAU
rfam:Schistosoma mansoni strain Puerto Rico chromosome W, complete genome